GUCUAAGGCCACACUACCCUGAAGGCACCCCAUCCCCUCUGAUCGUGGAAGCUAAGCAAGGUCGGGCCUGGUUAGUACUUGGAUGGGAAGAGACCCACGUCAAGGUUCUGGGCUCCCCUGAGACCCUGCCUCCAGACC
rnacentral:rRNA from 1 species